AGUGGCGGACGGGUGAGUAACGCGUGGGUAACCUGCCUUAUACAGGGGGAUAACAGUCAGAAAUGACUGCUAAUACCGCAUAAGCGCACAGAGCUGCAUGGCUCAGUGUGAAAAACUCCGGUGGUAUAAGAUGGACCCGCGUUGGAUUAGCUAGUUGGUGAGGUAACGGCCCACCAAGGCGACGAUCCAUAGCCGGCCUGAGAGGGUGAACGGCCACAUUGGGACUGAGACACGGCCCAGACUCCUACGGGAGGCAGCAGUGGGGAAUAUUGCACAAUGGGGGAAACCCUGAUGCAGCGACGCCGCGUGAAGGAAGAAGUAUCUCGGUAUGUAAACUUCUAUCAGCAGGGAAGAAAAUGACGGUACCUGACUAAGAAGCCCCGGCUAACUACGUGCCAGCAGCCGCGGUAAUACGUAGGGGGCAAGCGUUAUCCGGAUUUACUGGGUGUAAAGGGAGCGUAGACGGAUGGACAAGUCUGAUGUGAAAGUCCAUCGCUUAACGGUGGAUCCGCGCCGGGUACGGGCGGGCUUGAGUGCGGUAGGGGAGACUGGAAUUCCCGGUGUAACGGUGGAAUGUGUAGAUAUCGGGAAGAACACCAAUGGCGAAGGCAGGUCUCUGGGCCGUCACUGACGCUGAGGAGCGAAAGCGUGGGGAGCGAACAGGAUUAGAUACCCUGGUAGUCCACGCCGUAAACGGUGGAUGCUGGAUGUGGGGACCAUUCCACGGUCUCGGUGUCGGAGCCAACGCGUUAAGCAUCCCGCCUGGGGAGUACGGCCGCAAGGCUAAAACUCAAAGAAAUUGACGGGGGCCCGCACAAGCGGCGGAGCAUGCGGAUUAAUUCGAUGCAACGCGAAGAACCUUACCUGGGCUUGACAUGUUCCCGACAGCCGUAGAGAUACGGUCUCCCUUCGGGGCGGGUUCACAGGUGGUGCAUGGUCGUCGUCAGCUCGUGUCGUGAGAUGUUGGGUUAAGUCCCGCAACGAGCGCAACCCUCGCCCUGUGUUGCCAGCACGUCGUGGUGGGAACUCACGGGGGACCGCCGGGGUCAACUCGGAGGAAGGUGGGGAUGACGUCAGAUCAUCAUGCCCCUUACGUCCAGGGCUUCACGCAUGCUACAAUGGCCGGUACAACGGGAUGCGACACUGUGAGGUGGAGCGGAUCCCUUAAAACCGGUCUCAGUUCGGAUUGGAGUCUGCAACCCGACUCCAUGAAGGCGGAGUCGCUAGUAAUCGCGGAUCAGCAACGCCGCGGUGAAUGCGUUCCCGGGCCUUGCACUCACCGCCCGUCAAG
rnacentral:rRNA from 1 species